GCGCCUCUCAAAAUUCUACUGUAAAUGUUGAAACGGACAGGUCUCCUAUAUGGCACUGUAGCUUCACAAAAUAGUGCCAAAGACAUACAAUGGGGGUAUCGUUGUACUCAGCAGAAGUAACCGAACACAAAAUAAAACUUUGUACAGGAAUAGCACACACCAACUUUACAAAAUACAUAUUUAGCAGAGAUUGGCGGUAAAAUGGCUGCGUAGAAAGUGUCAAAACAACCUU